rnacentral:lncRNA from 1 species
GAGUCACAUUUGUUUUGUUUUGUAUUUGCAGUGCUGGGUGUUAAGAGUUCUCUGGCACAAUAGAGAAGCAGAGGGAAAGAGAAAAUGAAAGUGGCCUUUUUAUAUGAGGACCUGGAGAGGAACCCACAACCUGCAGGGUUUGGCUUUCUACUCCCACUGGAUCCAGAAGAGCAGAAGGCUUCCUUCUGCCCCAUGUCUACUGCAGUGCCAGGCGUCACGGGAGCUGUGUUGUGGAUUUACCCUCUGGCAUGGCAUCAGUGAGCACUUGUUCAUCCUGCAGUAAAUAUUACUGAGCGCUCCAUUUAUUCUAGGCUUUGUGCUGAGACCUGGACUUUCUCACAACACUGCUGCCCCUGCUCCCGGGUAUGUUUCUCAGCCCUGUGAGCAGACACGGAGAAAAGGGCACAAGCAUGUGGAAUCUGGUGUAUAAAACACAGAUACAAAUUUCCUCUGCUUUCUAAAACAGAUUCUAAAAUAAAAGAGCCAUGUAAGCAGAGCUAGGUAUAGUGGUGCACACCUGUAAUCCCAGCACUCAGAAGGUUGAGGCAGGAUCACUGUGAGUUCAAGGCCAGUUGGGGUUACAUAAUUAAUUCAAGGCCAGCCUGGACUACAAAGUGAGAGCCUGACUCAAAAUAAAUACAUAAGGGCCGGAGGUUUAGCU